rnacentral:rRNA from 1 species
GACGAACGCUGGCGGCGUGCUUAACACAUGCAAGUCGAACGGAAAGGCCCUGCUUUUGUGGGGUGCUCGAGUGGCGAACGGGUGAGUAACACGUGAGUAACCUGCCCUUGACUUUGGGAUAACUUCAGGAAACUGGGGCUAAUACCGGAUAGGAGCUCCUGCUGCAUGGUGGGGGAUGGAAAGUUUCGGCGGUUGGGGAUGGACUAGCGGCUUAUCAGCUUGUUGGUGGGGUAGUGGCUUACCAAGGCUUUGACGGGUAGCCGGCCUGAGAGGGUGACCGGCCACAUUGGGACUGAGAUACGGACCAGACUCCUACGGGAGGCAGCAGUGGGGAAUAUUGCACAAUGGGCGGAAGCCUGAUGCAGCAGCGCCGCGUGCGGGAUGACGGCCUUCGGGUUGUAAACCGCUGUCGCCUGUGACGAAGCGUGAGUGACGGUAAUGGGUAAAGAAGCACCGGCUAACUACGUG